rnacentral:rRNA from 1 species
AAAUUGAAGAGUUUGAUCAUGGCUCAGAUUGAACGCUGGCGGCAGGCCUAACACAUGCAAGUCGAACGGUAACAGGAAGCAGCUUGCUGCUUUGCUGACGAGUGGCGGACGGGUGAGUAAUGUCUGGGAAACUGCCUGAUGGAGGGGGAUAACUACUGGAAACGGUGGCUAAUACCGCAUAACGUCGCAAGACCAAAGAGGGGGACCUUCGGGCCUCUUGCCAUCAGAUGUGCCCAGAUGGGAUUAGCUUGUUGGUGAGGUAACGGCUCACCAAGGCGACGAUCCCUAGCUGGUCUGAGAGGAUGACCAGCCACACUGGAACUGAGACACGGUCCAGACUCCUACGGGAGGCAGCAGUGGGGAAUAUUGCACAAUGGGCGCAAGCCUGAUGCAGCCAUGCCGCGUGUAUGAAGAAGGCCUUCGGGUUGUAAAGUACUUUCAGCGGGGAGGAAGGUGUUGUGGUUAAUAACCGCAGCAAUUGACGUUACCCGCAGAAGAAGCACCGGCUAACUCCGUGCCAGCAGCCGCGGUAAUACGGAGGGUGCAAGCGUUAAUCGGAAUUACUGGGCGUAAAGCGCACGCAGGCGGUCUGUCAAGUCGGAUGUGAAAUCCCCGGGCUCAACCUGGGAACUGCAUUCGAAACUGGCAGGCUUGAGUCUUGUAGAGGGGGGUAGAAUUCCAGGUGUAGCGGUGAAAUGCGUAGAGAUCUGGAGGAAUACCGGUGGCGAAGGCGGCCCCCUGGACAAAGACUGACGCUCAGGUGCGAAAGCGUGGGGAGCAAACAGGAUUAGAUACCCUGGUAGUCCACGCCGUAAACGAUGUCUACUUGGAGGUUGUGCCCUUGAGGCGUGGCUUCCGGAGCUAACGCGUUAAGUAGACCGCCUGGGGAGUACGGCCGCAAGGUUAAAACUCAAAUGAAUUGACGGGGGCCCGCACAAGCGGUGGAGCAUGUGGUUUAAUUCGAUGCAACGCGAAGAACCUUACCUGGUCUUGACAUCCACAGAAGAAUCCAGAGAUGGAUUUGUGCCUUCGGGAACUGUGAGACAGGUGCUGCAUGGCUGUCGUCAGCUCGUGUUGUGAAAU